AUUGAACGCUGGCGGCAGGCCUAACACAUGCAAGUCGAGCGGCAGCACUUCGGGUGGCGAGCGGCGAACGGGUGAGUAGUACAUGGGAAUCUGCCCAGUAGUGGGGGAUAACUUCGGGAAACUGGAGGUAAUACCGCAUACGUCCUACGGGAGAAAGCAGGGGAUCGCAAGACCUUGCGCUAUUGGAGGAGCCAAUGUCCGAUUAGCUAGUUGGUGAGGUAAAGGCUCACCAAGGCAACGAUCGGUAACUGGUCUGAGAGGAUGGUCAGUCACACUGGAACUGAGACACGGUCCAGACUCCUACGGGAGGCAGCAGUGGGGAAUAUUGGACAAUGGGGCAACCCUGAUCCAGCCAUGCCGCGUGUGUGAAGAAGGCCUUCGGGUUGUAAAGCACUUUAAGCAGGGAGGAAGGCUCGUACGUUAAUACCGUGCGGGAGUGACGUUACCUGCAGAAUAAGCACCGGCAAACUCCGUGCCAGCCGCCGCCGUAA
rnacentral:rRNA from 1 species